UCGGGUCAGCUACGACAUGAGCG
rnacentral:miRNA from 1 species